rnacentral:rRNA from 1 species
UACGUAGGUGGCAAGCGUUGUCCGGAUUUAUUGGGUUUAAAGGGUGCGUAGGCGGUCCCAUAAGUCAGUGGUGAAAUACUCUAGCUUAACUAGAGGGGUGCCAUUGAUACUGUGGGACUUGAGUGUGGCAGAGGGGGGUGGAAUUCCACGUGUAGCAGUGAAAUGCGUAGAUAUGUGGAGGAACACCAAUGGCGAAGGCAGCCCCCUGGGUCAACACUGACGCUCAUGCACGAAAGCGUGGGGAGCAAACAGG